rnacentral:lncRNA from 1 species
CCAUCUCAACAUCAGUUCCUAAAUAUGGGGUCCAGCUGAAAAUUUAUGUCUUAUCUUUCACUCCUUGAGUGGGUGAGGCAUGUAGAAUUGGAUGCUGGUGGCAUGGCUACCAGGCCCCUGUUAACCUUCUUCUUCUGAAAAUUGCCUUUCUCCAGACACACAAAGGAUUGGACCCCAGGCAGCCAAGUUUCUAUGACUUGACUUUAUCCACAUUAAUUGGACCAGAGGGGUCAGUCACAUGACUUAUUGAGAGUCAAUCAUUUUCUUUAACUGUGGAAUGUACCACUGAAAGGCUGCUAUUUAGGGUUGUCUGGUGCCUUGAACCAAGGAGAUAUUACCUAGGAAGAUGUAAGUAGCCAUUUCAGCCAAGGGCCUGAAGUUGAGGAAUUACAUGAAAAGAGAGGAAAGGAAAAAAAAGAUAUGGAGAGAGAAAAGCCACAAAAAAAGAGGUGAAAGUAUUGCCUGGUGAAUUCAUUAUCUCUUACUGUACAACAAAUCACCCCAAAGGACCAACAUAUAUUAGCUCAUAUAGUUUCUAGGUUCAGGAAUCUGAGACUGGCUUAGCUGGGAAUGUGUAACUCAGGAUCUCUCAGGAGUGUACAGUCAACAGGUCAGUUGGGGCUGGAGAAUGAACUUCCAAACUCAUUCAUGUGGCUGUUAGUGGGAGGGUUCUGCUCCUUGGCGUAUGACCCUCUCCACUGGGUUGCUUAUUGGACAUAGCAGCUGACUCCCUCAGCAGCUGAAAGAGAGAGAGAUUGAUUUCCAAGUUGGAAAGUGGACCUUAAUUGUCCUCCUCUGCAGGGUAUGCUGGAUUUGGUGACUCUACCAAAGAAAAAAAUAUGGAAAGGAAAAAGAGUAACUAAUACUGUGGAGAAAUAUGGUAGACAUCAUCUUAACCAAGCAGUCAGGGUUAAUUUAACAUCACUAACAGUAAGUCAUGUUGAUAUUACACACUCCUGAUUUGAUGUGAUGAGAAGUUUAUCUUACCUUGUGGUAUUCUUCCCCCCAAUCCGUAAUUCCAGACUAGUUCUGAGAAAAUGGCAGAUAAAUCCAACUUGAGGGACAUUCUACAAAAUAUCUGACCAGCACUCUCCAGAAGCUUUAAAGACUUAAAAAAAAAGACAGAAACUCUUAUAGAUUUUAGGAGAUAAAGCAUAUUUGGUGAAUAAAUGCAAUGUGUUUUCCUAGAUUAAAUCCUGGAACAGAACAAAGACAUGAGUAGGAAAAUUGGGAAAAUCUGAAUGAAGUCUAUGGUUUAAUCAAUGGUAUUGUAACAACAUUAGCUUUUUAGUUUUCAGAAGUGCAUAUGUUAACAUAAGGGGAAGCUAGGUGAAUGGGUUAGGAAAGUUGUUGCAACUUUCUAUAAGUGUACAAUUAUCCCCAAAUUUUAAAAAAUUCUAAAAACUGGAAAAAAAUUCCUUCAAAACUAACCAAACCAAAAUUUAAAAAAUAGAAUAAAUCUGUAAAAUAACAAACUCUGGAUGGGACCAGACCCCUUAGAAAGGAGAUCUAGAUUAGACUUUAUUUGAGUGGAUGGAGUAGUCCAAGAAGUUUCUUAGAGGAAAAAAGGGCUGAUUUCAUACCAAAGGGAGUGAAAAAUAUUGCCUUAGCAUCAUGAAAUACUCAGGUAACUUCUAAUAGAAUUGUAUAAACUGAGCAAAAUGGGGUGGAUGUGGCAGUGGUGAAGGAGAGAGUAGCGUGAACAAUGCUAGAAAAAUGGUCCUGGGCUUUUCAGUUAACACUGACACAAGCCUUGAUUUUCUGUAGGAGAUUAUAACACUCAGCUUGGGCUGCCAUAACAAAAUACCAUACAUGGAUGGCUUAAACAAGAGAAAGUUGUUUCUUAUAGUUCUGGAGGAGGCUGGGAAGUCUAAGAUCAGGGUGCCAGCAUGGUUGGGUUCUGAUGAGGACUCUCUUCCUGGCUUGCAGAUGGCCACCUUCUUGCUAACUUAUCAGACAAUGUUAUAUCCUCCAGCCCUGGGGUAGAUCUACCCCAUGAUAUGCUGAGGUUAUAAAAAUAGAUGUCCCUAAAUCUCAGUGGCUUUAGUACAGCUUUAUUUCUCACUUAGGCUCCAUUUCCACCAUGGGUUGGGGUUGAGGAGAGGCUAUGUUCUGUCAUCCUCACUCAGGGACCCAGGCCAUAAGGAGUCUCUACUGUCUGCUGAGAAAGGCAGGACCAGACACAGAUCUGCUGUAGAUAAGGGAAGAGAAUGUGACACACUGACCCUUAAAGGCUCCUGCUUGGAUGUAAUAUGACUUGCUUCCAUUCACAUUUCUUUGGCCAAAGCAAGACGCAUGGCCAGGUCUAACAUCAGGGGUGUGGGAAGUUCUAUCUUUCCACAUACCCAGAAGCAGGAAUAUUGAAUAUUGGGGAACAGUCCUGAUGAUUACCAGGGAAUCCAUGGCAGGGCUCCAUGAGGAGUGUCACUGCUCUUCGACCUUCUCAUCCCUUUCUGUACCCCUGCAUUCCCUUCCUUCUUAUCUUAAUGUCUUUUUCAUCCUCUUUCCUCUCAUUCUUUUUCCUCAUUCCCUUUCCUUCAGUGAAAUAAUUAUUUUCUAAUCACAAAAGUGGAUAUAUUUAAACAGUAAAAAAAAAUUCAGAUGACACUGCAAUAUUUAAAAACUUGCUUAUUUCUAUUUCUUUUCUUCUGCCAGAGAUAACCACUCUUUUUUGUGUGUAUGUGCUUUUUAGGGCCACACCUGCGGCAUAUGGAGGUUCCUAGGCUAGGGGUCAAAUCAAAGCUACAGCCAUAGCAACACAGGAUCUGAGCCAGGUCUGCAACCUACAACCACAGCUCAUGGCAACCCUAGAUCCUUAAGUCACUGAGCCAGGCCAGGGAUUGAACCUGCAACGUCAUGGUUCCUAGUCAGAUUCAUUUACGCUAUGCCACAGCAGGAACUCUGAGAUAACCACUCUUAAAAGGUAGGAUGGAGAACCUAAUUCCAGAUCACUUCUUACACAAUGCAAUUAUAAAUAUUACAGUACAUUUUAAGAUUACAAAAAGAGGAUCACACGAUGCAUAGCAUUUUGCAAAGUGCUUUUUUAAUUUAACAGUGUAUCUUGGACACCUCUCCUUUUUUAAAAAUCAGGAAAUGAAAACAAGAACUAUACAACAUUAAUAGCAACCAUUCAUUGAAUGAGGGGCACCUAGGCUGUGUCCCUCACUGUUUUAGGGGCAGGGUGCUCCCCAUGAAAUGACACUAUUUCUGUCCUUAAGAUUUUAUAUUUUAUUGAAGAGAGAUCUGUGUCUGGUCCUGCCUCUCUCACCAAGAGUUGUGAGACCUUAGCCAGAUAUUUUGGCAUUAUUGGGCCUGUGCCUGUGUGUGUGUGUUGUGUGUUUAAACAACAACAAAAAUUGAGGGGUCGACCAUAUGUUCUCACUAUACUAUCAGUCUAAUUCUAACUGUACUGGGACUUGCUUUGUUGUUUUUGCAAACAACAGACACUGACUCUCAUUAACUACAGCAAAAAGAAGGAAUUAAUUGGAAAAAUCUUGUGAGGCUUAGAGACUAGAAGGAAGUGUUGAACAUUUGUGUCUGGGGAAGGGCAGAAACCAGGAGCCCUUAGGGGAUCUUCUGCAGAAGGAAGUUAUAAGUUGAUUUUGCAGGGUGCUGCUGUUGGAUGACUCAGCUCCAAUGGUCUUCCCUCUGGGGAUUUCUGUAGGAGAUUCAGCUUUCAGGGCGAGAGAAGCGUUUUGGCCUAGCUUGGGUCAUCAGUUCACUCUCUGACCAGAGGGAGUGGAUCCUAUUGAUUGACAGCUGUACCAAUACCACCUGUGAUGGAGGUGGGCAGUUCCCGAAAGGGAGAUGCUCUUAAGAAAAGAAGGAAAGAAGGAAGGGAGGCUGACUCCAUUAAAAUCUGAUGUCCACUGCACUAAUUUCCUUUUCUCCCCCCAUCCUGUUCCUAUCUUUGCCUCCCUCAUUUUACAUCUGAAUUUUCUGCUUUUCUUCUGCUUAUCACUGUCUUAGUUUGGCAGCCAAAAAUAGGCUUUAUGUAAUUGAGCUCAUGGGGUUUCAGUGUCCAGGGGUUUCUAAUCUCUUCUUUGAUGACUCUAAGAGAAUGCUUUCUGUGCAGAUGUUUGAACUACAACACAUUCACCUGAUUUUCAACACAAGGAUAAAAUAAUAUUGCAGUACUUGGUGCCUUUCAUAUUUUUCUGGACUGUAAAAUUGAAUACUCCUAAAUUUACUUACAGCACUGCUUGUAACAGUAAAAACUGCAUACAAACUAAAUGAUUAAGAAGAAAUUGACUAGACAUCAUGCCAUCUCUUUACAGCUAUAUCAUACAGUGACACAACUUCCCCCCCCCCUUCUUUAAUUAUCACUUGAUCCUUGGAGAAACUGAGAAGGAAUACAGGAUCCCUUUCUAGAAAAACGUGAACACAUUGUGCAUACAGUUUCUCAUAAACAUUUUGGGUACUUGCAAACCCAAUAAAAAUUUACUUCUAAAUCCAGGAGUUAUUCAUAACCUCUUUAAAUACUCUUGAUGUAAUGGAGUAAUGUAUAGGCCUAAUCAUUAUGAUGAGUAUACUUUAAUUUUUAUUUUAUUUUUUGGCUGUGCCUACGGCAUAUGGAUGUUCUUGGGCCAGGGAUCCAACUUGUGCCACAGCGGUGACUCCAGCCACUGCAGCGACAAUACCAGAUCCUUAACCCACUGUGCCGCAGGAGAACUCCAAGUAUAUUUUUAAUAAGAAAAGCUGUUCAAAAUUUUUGAUAUAAAGAAAAAUUGGGAGUUCCUGUCGUGGCUCAGUGGUUAACGAAUCCCACUAGGAACCAUGAGGUUGCAGGUUUGAUCCCUGGUUUCGCUCAGUGGGUUAAGGAUUUGGUGUCGCCAUGAGCUAUGGUGUAGGUCAUAGACACAGCACGGAUCUGGCGUUGCUGUGGCUCUGGCAUAGGCCGGCAGCUACAGCUCCAAUUAGACCCCUAGCUUGGGAACCUCCAUAUGCUGUGGAUGCGGCCCUAGGAAAGACAAAAAAAAAAAAAAAAAAAAAAAAGGAAAAAAGAAAAAUUGGUUACAAAAGAAGAGAACUCUGUGUGUGUGUGUGUGUGUGUGUGUGUGUGUGUAGUAACAUUAGUAAUAAGUUCGGACAGCUGCCCAAGAAAAUACUAAAUGCAUUUCUCUCUGUUGGAUCAAUUAUAGAUAAUUUAUUAUAGUUGAUUUACAAUGCUGUGCCAAUUUCUGUUGUAUAGCAAAAUGACUCAACCAUAUAUAUAUAUAUUCUUUUUUAAAAUAUUAUUUUAUAUCAUGGUCUAUCCCAGGAGAUUGAAUAUAGUUAAUUUAGAUAUAGAUAAUUUUUUUUUCUUUUUUUGUAGUCUUUUCCAAGUUUUUUAAAAUGAAUAUAUAUUAUUUGUGAAAUUUUUAAAAGAGGGCUAUGAUAAAGGGAAUAAAUGCUUUAGUCACUUAAGACUCAGCUUUUUUACACUGUCUGAUUUUCAUGGCUUUUCGAUUAGUGGUAGAAAUAGUUGGGAAGAGUGGAUAAAAGAACAUCCUAUGUCAAGUACUAAAGAGAAUCCUAAGAGUUAAAUCUAUAAUUCAUUUUUUUUUUUUGGAAACUUUGACCUUAUUUAUUACUGACUGAAAUGGCAAAUUACUGACUGAAAUGGCAAAUUACAAAAUUAAAAAAAAAAAUAACCAUUUCCCCCUUGCUUUCAAAAGCCGUAUGUAUAUGUUGUUACGAAACAUUACAAAAAUGUGUGAUUAUGAAAGUGAAAUUUCUUUAUAAUUCCUCUUUGAGUUCUAAUAAUAGCUGUUAAUCAUUUAAUCUGUAUACAUCAUCACACACACAGACAUGCAAAGGUGGUUUCUUAAAUGAAAUUAGAAUUGACAUAUAUUAUUUGUGAUGUGGUUUUUCUCAAGUAAAUUUUAUUUUGGACACUUUCUGUGUUUGCUCAUAGAGCUCAUUCCCAUUGUUUUUAAUACUUGCAGAGAAUUCAACUGUAAGAAUGCAUCAUAAUUUAUGUAUAGCCCCUAUGCCGUGGACUCAGUUUUUCAAAAUAAUGAAGAACAUUGCAAUGAAAAUUCUUGUACAUACAUCUUUUAUCUAAAGCCUCAAAAUAGGCAAAAAUAAACUAUAUUGCUUAGGGUGGCACAUUUAGGUGUUAAAAAACAGAAGAAAAGAAGAAAUGAUUACCAUAAUAAAUGGUUACUUCGAAGUUCCCACUGUGGCACAAUGGGAUCAGCAGUGUCUUCGGAGCACUGGGAAGCAGGUUCAAUCCCUGGCCCUGAGCAGUGGAUUAAGGAUCUGGUGUUGCUGCAGUUGCAGCUUAGGCCAUGACUGUGACUCAGAUCUGAUCUCUGGCAGAUC